AGCGAACGCUGGCGGCGUGCCUAACACAUGCAAGUCGAGCGGACCAGAAAUGGAGGUAACUUUAUUUCUGGUUAGCGGCGAACGGGUGAGUAACACGUGGGUAACCUGCCCUCAGGAGGAGGAUAACUCGGGGAAACCUGAGCUAAUACUCCAUAAGACCACGAGCUGAAAUGCUUGUGGUAAAAGAAGCAAUUCACCUGAGGAUGGGCCCGCGGCCUAUCAGGUAGUUGGUAGGGUAAUGGCCUACCAAGCCUAUGACGGGUAGCCGAGCUGAGAGGCUGGCCGGCCACACUGGGACUGAGACACGGCCCAGACUCCUACGGGAGGCAGCAGUGGGGAAUCUUGCGCAAUGGGCGAAAGCCUGACCCAGCGACGCCGCGUGGGGGAAGAAGGCCUUCGGGUUGUAAACCCCUUUUGCAGGGGACGACACAGGACGGUACCCUGCGAAUAAGCCACGGCUAACUCUGUGCCAGCAGCCGCGGUAAGACAGAGGUGGCAAGCGUUGCUCGGAUUCACUGGGCUUAAAGGGCGCGUAGGUGGUUUUGUAAGUCUAAGGUGGAAUUCCACAGCUUAACUGUGGGACUGCCUUUGAUACUGCAAGGCUUGAGUCAGGCAGAGGAGGGCGGAAUCCCCGGUGUAGCGGUGAAAUGCGUAGAUAUCGGGAGGAACACCAGUGGCGAAGGCGGCUUCCUGGAUUGUACCUGACGCUCAUGCGCGAAAGCUGGGGGAGCGAACG
rnacentral:rRNA from 1 species